AUAUCGCUCAUUAAAUGCAACAACGUCAUAUCUCAAAAAAUCGAAUUUUUGAGUUAUGUGGUUUAACAGAAAGUAAAUUGUAUAAAGUUUACUUUGUUAGAUCGAUAUAUCUGUAACUUAACAAUUAACUGAGAGAUGGCGCCAAACGAUUGUAGUAUUUCUGCGACGAGGUCUAAAUUUUUACCGCAAGAGUGUUUUAUUUCAGUUGUGGUUUGUCAGUUGAAGUGGCACGUGCUUACGCUUUUGUUUAAAAACGUGUUAUUGUGUUUUAUGAGGAUAUUUCACUAAAGGCUUUCAACGUAAUAAUGUCCUAAAUUUCGCUUAAAAAAGAUUCAGCAGCUUUUAAAGCAGCAGCAAUCUACCAAUGAGGAUGCAUCGACCGAACAGUAUAUGUCUGACUACACAGUUUCUGUUUUUGAAUGUGAAAAUGGUACCCCAAAGAAUAUGCUCGACAAUGAUGAACAACAAAACAAACAAGAAUAUGAAACAAACGUUUCAGAGAUGGACAAUGAGUUUUUUUUGUAAAAAAUCAAGAAUCUUCAAGUACACUAGGUGAUAAGAAUAUAGCUGUUCCUGGAGUUUCUAAGUCAACAAGUUCUUCAUCAUCUUCAAGCAGCUGUUGUAGUAGGUGUUCUAGUAGGUCUUCCAGUAGUAGUAGCUCUUCUUCGUCCUCUGAAGAUUGUGAAGACAUAAUUAACGAUCAUAACUAUGUACCAAAGAGUGAUGAAGAAUCAGAAGAGUGUGAUAAAGAAAACCACGACGACGGUAAUAAUGAGCCUAAUCAAACCUUAUCAGCAAACCAAGACAUUCCUAUUCUUGUUACACCCCCAAAGAAAGGCAAGAAACGUCAACGGAAUACUAAAAACUGGAAGAGAAAUCUUACAAAAAAAAAAUGAGUAGUUGUGGUGAAGCCUACCAAACUCAUUCAAAAAACAAAAAGAUGAGACAAAAAAGACAAGUAAGGUAUCCGUGCAAAGAUUGUAAACUCAAGUGUCCAUCUAAAUUUACCGAAGAGGAGGGAAUACAGAUUUUUUUAAGCUAUUGGUCACUCGAUGAAUUUCAAAAACGGAGAGAGUAUAUUAACAAACUGUUGGUACCAGUUGUACCCCAAUAUCGGUAUAUUCGUGUCGGAGGUACAAGAAAACCCAGAGACAAAAACAAAGCAUACUAUUUUGUAAAAGAAGGUAAGUAGAUUCGAGUUUGCAAAGUAUUUUUUGCAAAUACUUUGGACAUACCUGAUCGCAUAAUAAGAACUGUGCAAGAAAAACGGAAUAAAGUUUUAGAGGUCCUCCUUGAUUCGGACAAAUGUGGAAGACACGGAAACCAGAAAUCGCUAAAUCCAGAAAUUCGGGAAGAUAUUAGACAGCACAUAACAUCAAUCCCAAGAAUUGAAAGUUAUUACUCGCGCCAAUACAUCCCGAAUAUUUAUUGAUGGUAGCCGCUCAUUGGCAGAUAUUCAUAGAGACUAUAUUGAAAUCUGUAACCACCAAAGAAAUAGACCUUUUGCAAGUUACGCAAUUUUCCAUGAAGUUUUUGUCAAAGAAUUUAAUAUGUCUUUCUUUACACCCAAGAAAGACCUUUGCGAAACAUGCGUAUUUUCAUUAAAAUAUCUAAGCCAAAAUAUUUUAUUAAUGUUUCUUGAACUGUAUUUUUAUUUGUAGUUUUCUUAUUUUGUAACUUCUUGUUUUUAACAAGUUGACAUAUUAAAAUUAUUUGCCAAAAACUGUGUUUAAAUAAUGACAAGAUCAUCAUAUUUCAAUUUGUACCUCUUUUACAAAUGCAUUUAAGUGACAAUAACGUCACAAAAUGGAACAUUUUUUAAUA
rnacentral:lncRNA from 1 species